rnacentral:rRNA from 1 species
GCCUUUUGGGGGCUGCUAUAAUGCAGUCGAGCGAACAGAUAAGGAGCUUGCUCCUUUGACGUUAGCGGCGGACGGGUGAGUAACACGUGGAUAACCUACCUAUAAGACUGGGAUAACUUCGGGAAACCGGAGCUAAUACCGGAUAACAUAUUGAACCGCAUGGUUCAAUAGUGAAAGGCGGCUUUGCUGUCACUUAUAGAUGGAUCCGCGCCGUAUUAGCUAGUUGGUAAGGUAACGGCUUACCAAGGCAACGAUACGUAGCCGACCUGAGAGGGUGAUCGGCCACACUGGAACUGAGACACGGUCCAGACUCCUACGGGAGGCAGCAGUAGGGAAUCUUCCGCAAUGGGCGAAAGCCUGACGGAGCAACGCCGCGUGAGUGAUGAAGGUCUUCGGAUCGUAAAACUCUGUUAUCAGGGAAGAACAAAUGUGUAAGUAACUGUGCACAUCUUGACGGUACCUGAUCAGAAAGCCACGGCUAACUACGUGCCAGCAGCCGCGGUAAUACGUAGGUGGCAAGCGUUAUCCGGAAUUAUUGGGCGUAAAGCGCGCGUAGGCGGUUUUUUAAGUCUGAUGUGAAAGCCCACGGCUCAACCGUGGAGGGUCAUUGGAAACUGGAAAACUUGAGUGCAGAAGAGGAAAGUGGAAUUCCAUGUGUAGCGGUGAAAUGCGCAGAGAUAUGGAGGAACACCAGUGGCGAAGGCGACUUUCUGGUCUGUAACUGACGCUGAUGUGCGAAAGCGUGGGGAUCAAACAGGAUUAGAUACCCUGGUAGUCCACGCCGUAACGAUGAGUGCUAAGUGUUAGGGGGUUUCCGCCCCUUAGUGCUGCAGCUAACGCAUUAAGCACUCCGCCUGGGGGAGUACGACCGCAAGGUUGAAACUCAAAGGAAUUUGACGGGGACCCGCACAAGCGGUGGAGCAUGUGUUUAAUUCGAAGCAACGCGAGACCCUUACCAAAUCUUGACAUCCUUUGACCGCUCUAGAAGAUAGAGUCCUCCCCUUCCGGGAACAAAUGACCAGUAGGUGCAUGG